AUACGUAGGGGGCAAGCGUUAUCCGGAUUUACUGGGUGUAAAGGGAGCGCAGACGGCUAGCCAAGUCUGAAGUGAAACCCCGCAGCUCAACUGCGGGCUUGCUUUGGAAACUGGUUGGCUAGAGUGUCGGAGGGGUAAGCGGAAUUCCUAGCGUAGCGGUGAAAUGCGUAGAUAUUAGGAGGAACACCGGUGGCGAAGGCGGCUUACUGGACGACAACUGACGUUGAGGCUCGAAAGCGUGGGGAGCAAACAGGAUUAGAUACCCGGGUAGUCCACGCCGUAAACGAUGAAUACUAGGUGUCGGGAGUCUAUAGGCUUUCGGUGCCGCAGCUAACGCAUUAAGUAUUCCACCUGGGGAGUACGGUCGCAAGAAUGAAACUCAAAGGAAUUGACGGGG
rnacentral:rRNA from 1 species